rnacentral:rRNA from 1 species
UAGGGAAUCUUCCACAAUGGACGAAAGUCUGAUGAGCAACGCCGCGUGAGUGAAGAAGGGUUUCGGCUCGUAAAACUCUGUUGUUAAAGAAGAACAUAUCUGAGAGUAACUGUUCAGGUAUUGACGGUAUUUAACCAGAAAGCCACGGCUAACUACGUGCCAG